CGUUUUUAACAGUAUAGCUUCUGGGACAGGAGAGCCCUCCUCUGCCUCAGCUGACACAGAGGUACCUGGCUAGCCCCAUGUCACUGCUCUCAGCAGGGACUGGGGUUCCUGCACCCAGCCUCCCCUAGUCUCCUGGGAUCCGCAACUUCCUCAGAGGACACAUAAAGAGUCUGGGCUGGAAUCUGAACCCACGGCGAAUCCUCUGAAUGCUGAAAAGGGACAGCUUUAAAACAUCAUUCAAGAAAUAUUAGUGACCGGGAUGUCACAUAUCCCAAAUUGGCCUUGGAUUCCAGACCUUCCUGCCUAAUCCUACAAGUGGGCUUCUUCACAGCCUCCAAGAGAAAGACCUUUCCCUGCGAUGCAAGUAGGCUAUUGAGCUCUCUUCAGGCUGGGGGAAGAACAAUUUAACUUCGGCUGCUGGCUGUUGCAACUCCGCAGGUUCCUUCCCACCUAUGCACCUAGGCAGAGCUGGAAGGAGAACAGCUAUGGCGCUGGAGGGCAGCUGCCCCGGACUCUGGUUUCUGGUUCUGGCUGCACGGCUAGAAGGUUGGACUCCUGCUUCAAUCUAGGAGCACCCGCUUUUCAUCUGGGAAAUGGUGCGAGCCUCUGAGGAAUUAUCUGUGGAAAUUCACAAGAAAGCAUCCAGCCGGUAGCAGGUGCUAGGUGGAAGCCGGCCCCCAGUCACUCUUAGUUCCAAGCAUCCAGUUCUGUUCGGUCCAGGUCAGUGAGUCCAGCCUCCCAGGCGUCGUGAAUCUGCUAGGGUCAAUGCUUCAGGGUACCAGGGUCUUUCAGUCGGCACUGAAAUCUUCCUAGACUCUUAGGUCCCACAGAACUUCCUGGCUUAGAGGGACAGGAGAUGCCUCAGGUUUCUUGGGCUUUCCUAAAUUUGGACAAGCACGG
rnacentral:lncRNA from 1 species